ACUUUUUACUUGUUCCUUUUUGUUAAUCAUAUAUUUUAAGUGUCCUUUCAUUUUUUGAGCUAUUUUUUGAUGGUACAAUUGUUCUUGAUAAUCUAGAACACUGUAUUGAAUGGAUAUCACUUGAUAUUUUAAUUCAAAGUGUUUUGUGAAUUUUGAUUGUUCUUUAUUUCAGCUUCAGGAUAUGAUUGGGCAACCCAAAGUAUGUGACUCUCACAUGGCCUUCAUCUCACAUUUCUACACAAUUCACUUUUUAAAAUGUUAUAAUAUAUAAAAUAUUUAAAACAUUCACUCCACGACGGUUCCAGAUGAGUUAUUUCUCUCUAUAUUUCAGAUCCACGGUGGCCCAGGAUGAGACCCAGUAAGUAUAUGUUGAUCAACAUACUUCAUACAGACUCUUCAUAUAGUCAGUAUGGCCAAACAUUUGUGAGAUCUUUCAGCAAAUUACAGCAGGGUUUUGUCCAUGUCUCUCCAUAUCCAAGAAUACACCUCUAACACUUAUUUUACAAACAACAUUGCUGAAAUCUAUUGACCAUAAUCUAUUAUACUUAUAUUACAUAGUAUACAAAGGGAUUUUAAUCCAAAGCGUUUUCUGAAUUUUGACUAUUCUUUAUCUCAACUCCCAAACUACACUGUUAACACCUAAAGUAUAUUACUCUUUUACAUUACUUGAAUCUCACAUUUGCAUGGCAUUCACUGUUUCAUUUAAAAAUAUUCAGUGCAGAACUGAAAUGAAAUAACAUCUCUCUGUGUCUCAGCUUCUUCAUACUGGCGCAGGAUGAGACCCAGUAGGUUGAAAGUCAUCAACAUACUUUUCACAUACACCUGCAAUCGCCGGCUAUGUAACUUUGUAACUUUAGAUUUCUAAUCCAAUUUUUGGACCAUAUGUAAGAUCCUGUUAAUGCCACUCCAUUUUCUAAAAUACACUGUUAACCACAAAAUUAAAAACAGGAAAAUGCACAGCCCAAUUCAUAACAAUGCUAUGGUCUAUGCCAAUCUUGGAAUAGAAAGUAAAUAAACCUAUGGUUUAUUGCUCAAUAUUGAUUGUUCAACUACUGUUAACUAAAGUACAAGCAUAAGACACCAUUCGUGCAUUUAUUAGUAGAUCGAGUAUUAAGCACCAUCAAGGUCCUCUGUGAAGUCUGAAGUUCUAUACGCAGAGCUUGACUUAAUGAACGUACUCUCUCCAGGUCUAUAAUGUUCAGACUUAUCAUGCAAAAAAUAUGUCUGAAAUGUAUUUCUGAAAUUCUAUUACACUUGUAGGACCACUUUUUACUUGUUCCUUUUUGUUAUUCAUAUAUUUUAAGUGUCUUUUCAUUUUUUGAGCUAUUUUUUGAUGGUACAAUUGUUCUUGAUAAUCUAGAACACUGUAUUGAAUGGAUAUCACUUGAUAUUUUAAUUCAAAGUGUUUUGUGAAUUUUGAUUGUUCUUUAUUUCAGCUUCAGGAUAUGAUUGGGCAACCCAAAAUCCAUGGUGGCCCAGGAUGAGACCCAAUCUCCCAAACCCACUGAUUAGAGUGUACAGAUUGGUGAGCAACUAUGAGGACGCCGUCAUAGUUUCCUGUCAAUGUCACGUUCCCGUUCAUGGAAGCCAACUGCAGCUGAAGGUGGUGGUGGAAGAGCAAAGCUUCACAAUGAACUACCCCGACUUCAGCAGAGGAACAGAACACCUCUUCAAGAUCACGGUGUCUUCACCCGCUUCCUUCUCAUGUGUUCAGAAACUAGACGGCAAGACUCUCCUUAGCGAUGUGUUCAUCUUCAGUAAGCAUAUUGAGAGUCAUGGUUUCCCUGGACCAGAAGUGUCUCUGUCCUACCAGGCAUUCGCAGGAACUCUGGGCUGUCUGCUUAUCCUCAUGAUUUCUGGGAUGGUGGUGAUGAUGAUGAUGACUCUGUUGAAAAUACAGAAAGUGAAACAACGGACCUUCAAGAGAUUCCCUGUCUCAGAAGACACCAAGACUGUUUGACUCUUUAAACAUAGUCUUUUUUCAGUCACAGCGACAUAUAGUUUAUAACUGCUUAGAUAUUUGAUCUUUAAAUUCAUGUUUUUAAGUGGCAUAGGACAUAACGGUAUAAUGACCUAUUAUCCAAGACUAGUAUAUGAGCCAGGAUUAGAUCCAAACAGUUAGUCACAGUGCAGGUGCAUGUCUCAUGCUAGUAGGCUUUGAUAUUUUUGUAUGCAGCUAUGCUAUAGCAUCAAUGAGUAAAUGGCUUAAUUUCUUUCAUUUUGGACUAAUAAGUAUGCAUAUAUGUAAUAUUAGUCUUUUCUUCAGUCAAGACAGAAUAUAUGUACAUGCAGCAUGCAUGCUUACAUGCUUAUGUUUAUUUAGUAGAGUUUAAAAUACUUAAAUGGCUGAUAAAUCAUUACAUGAUUUGGAUUUGGCUUGAUAUAAUUCAGGUGUGUCUCCCAAUAAUAACAAUAUAAGUUCCAUCUUUUAAAUGUCUUGUGUUGAUUAAUUCCAGCUUGUCAAAUAAAUACUUAGAUAUAUUCUUCAUUA
ensembl:lncRNA